UACAGAGGUCCCGAGCGUUGUUCGGAUUCACUGGGCGUAAAGGGUGCGUAGGCGGUCGGAUAAGUUUGAUGUGAAAUCUCCGGGCUUAACCCGGAAAGGUCAAUCGAUACUGCAGGGCUAGAGUGCAGAAGGGGCAACUGGAAUUCUCGGUGUAGCGGUGAAAUGCGUAGAUAUCGAGAGGAACACCUGCGGCGAAGGCGGGUUGCUGGGCUGACACUGACGCUGAAGCGCGAAAGCUAGGGGAGCGAACGGG
rnacentral:rRNA from 1 species